CUUGGGGGGGAUUCUUCUCUAAUCUUUCAGAAACUUUGUCUGCGAACACUCUUUAAUGGACCAGAUCAGGAUUUGAGCGGAAGAACGAAUGUAACUUUAAGGCAGGAAAGACAAAUUUUAUUCUUCAUAAAGUGAUGAGCAUAUAAUAAUUCCAGGCACAUGGCAAUAGAGGCCCUCUAAAUAAGGAAUAAAUAACCUCUUAGACAGAGGCAUUUCAUCCUUCAUGAAGCCAUUCAGGAUUUUGAAUUGCAUAUGAGUGCUUGGCUCUUCCUUCUGUUCUACUUUUUUUUUUUUUACAGACUUCACAGAGAAUGCAGUUGUCUUGACUUCAGGUCUGUCUGUUCUGUUGGCAAGUAAAUGCAGUACUGUUCUGAUCCCGCUGCUAUUAGAAUGCAUUGUGAAACGACUGGAGUAUGAUUAAAAGUUGUGUUCCCCAAUGCUUGGAGUAGUGAUUGUUGAAGGAAAAAAUCCAGCUGAGUGAUAAAGGCUGAGUGUUGAGGAAAUUUCUGCAGUUUUAAGCAGUCGUAUUUGUGAUUGAAGCUGAGUACAUUUUGCUGGUGUAUUUUUAGGUAAAAUGCUUUUUGUUCAUUUCUGGUGGUGGGAGGGGACUGAAGCCUUUAGUCUUUUCCAGAUGCAACCUUAAAAUCAGUGACAAGAAACAUUCCAAACAAGCAACAGUCUUCAAGAAAUUAAACUGGCAAGUGGAAAUGUUUAAACAGUUCAGUGAUCUUUAGUGCAUUGUUUAUGUGUGGGUUUCUCUCUCCCCUCCCUUGGUCUUAAUUCUUACAUGCAGGAACACUCAGCAGACACACGUAUGCGAAGGGCCAGAGAAGCCAGACCCAGUAAGAAAAAAUAGCCUAUUUACUUUAAAUAAACCAAACAUUCCAUUUUAAAUGUGGGGAUUGGGAACCACUAGUUCUUUCAGAUGGUAUUCUUCAGACUAUAGAAGGAGCUUCCAGUUGAAUUCACCAGUGGACAAAAUGAGGAAAACAGGUGAACAAGCUUUUUCUGUAUUUACAUACAAAGUCAGAUCAGUUAUGGGACAAUAGUAUUGAAUAGAUUUCAGCUUUAUGCUGGAGUAACUGGCAUGUGAGCAAACUGUGUUGGCGUGGGGGUGGAGGGGUGAGGUGGGCGCUAAGCCUUUUUUUAAGAUUUUUCAGGUACCCCUCACUAAAGGCACCGAAGGCUUAAAGUAGGACAACCAUGGAGCCUUCCUGUGGCAGGAGAGACAACAAAGCGCUAUUAUCCUAAGGUCAAGAGAAGUGUCAGCCUCACCUGAUUUUUAUUAGUAAUGAGGACUUGCCUCAACUCCCUCUUUCUGGAGUGAAGCAUCCGAAGGAAUGCUUGAAGUACCCCUGGGCUUCUCUUAACAUUUAAGCAAGCUGUUUUUAUAGCAGCUCUUAAUAAUAAAGCCCAAAUCUCAAGCG
rnacentral:lncRNA from 1 species